rnacentral:rRNA from 1 species
AUUGCCUCAGUAACGGCGAGUGAAGCGGCAAGAGCUCAAAUUUGAAAGCUGGCCCCUUCGGGGUCCGCGUUGUAAUUUGCAGAGGAUGCUUCGGGUGCGGCCCCUGUCUAAGUGCCCUGGAACGGGCCGUCAGAGAGGGUGAGAAUCCCGUCUUGGGCAGGGUGCCCGUGCCCGUGUGAAGCUCCUUCGACGAGUCGAGUUGUUUGGGAAUGCAGCUCUAAAUGGGUGGUAAAUUUCAUCUAAAGCUAAAUACCGGCCGGAGACCGAUAGCGCACAAGUAGAGUGAUCGAAAGAUGAAAAGCACUUUGAAAAGAGAGUUAAACAGCACGUGAAAUUGUUGAAAGGAAAGCGCUUGCGACCAGACUCGGCCCCGGGGUUCAGCCAGCACUCGUGCUGGUGUACUUCCCCGGGGGCGGGCCAGCGUCGGUUUGGGCGGCCGGUCAAAGGCCCCAGGAAUGUAUCGCCCUCCGGGGUUGUCUUAUAGCCUGGGGUGCAAUGCGGCCAGCCCGGACCGAGGAACGCGCUUCGGCACGGACGCUGGCG